rnacentral:rRNA from 1 species
AUUGUUCGCAAUGGGCGCAAGCCUGACGACGCAACGCCGCGUGGAGGAUGAAGAUCUUCGGGUCGUAAACUCCUGUCGACCGGGACGAAUGCCGCGUGGGUGAAUAACCUGCGCGGGUAACGGUACCGGUGGAGGAAGCCCCGGCUAACUCCGUGCCAGCAGCCGCGGUAAUACGGGGGGGGCAAGCGUUGUUCGGAAUUACUGGGCGUAAAGGGCUCGUAGGCGGCCAACUCAGUCGGACGUGAAAUCCCUCGGCUUAACCGGGGAACGGCGUCCGAUACUGGAUGGCUUGAAUCCGAGAGAGGGAUGCGGAAUUCCAGGUGUAGCGGUGAAAUGCGUAGAUAUCUGGAGGAACACCGGUGGCGAAGGCGGCAUCCUGGAUUGGUAUUGACGCUGAGGAGCGAAAGCUAGGGGAGCAAAC